rnacentral:rRNA from 1 species
GACCUGAACUCAGACGUGGGCACCCGCUGAACUUAAGCAUCU